rnacentral:rRNA from 1 species
CCUACGGGAGGCAGCAGUGGGGAAUAUUGCACAAUGGGCGAAAGCCUGAUGCAGCGACGCCGCGUGAGGGACGACGGCCUUCGGGUUGUAAACCUCUUUCAGCAGGGACGAAGCGCAAGUGACGGUACCUGCAGAAGAAGCACCGGCUAACUACGUGCCAGCAGCCGCGGUAAUACGUAGGGUGCAAGCGUUGUCCGGAAUUACUGGGCGUAAAGAGUUCGUAGGCGGUUUGUCACGUCGUUUGUGAAAACUCACAGCUCAACUGUGAGCCUGCAGGCGAUACGGGCAGACUUGAGUACUGCAGGGGAGACUGGAAUUCCUGGUGUAGCGGUGAAAUGCGCAGAUAUCAGGAGGAACACCGGUGGCGAAGGCGGGUCUCUGGGCAGUAACUGACGCUGAGGAACGAAAGCGUGGGUAGCGAACAGGAUUAGAUACCCUGGUAGUCCACGCCGUAAACGGUGGGCGCUAGGUGUGGGUUCCUUCCACGGAAUCCGUGCCGUAGCUAACGCAUUAAGCGCCCGCCUGGGGNGACGCGCGAGNGAACUAAUAAGUAGUGNGNGUGAGAGUGCGAGGCGCACGAGGAGAGG